rnacentral:rRNA from 1 species
UGAGCAACCUGCCCUCCACUUCGGGAUAAGCCUUGGAAACGGGGUCUAAUACCGGAUAUGAGCCUGCAUCGCAUGGUGUGGGUUGGAAAGUUUUUCGGUGGGGGAUGGGCUCGCGGCCUAUCAGCUUGUUGGUGGGGUGAUGGCCUACCAAGGCGUCGACGGGUAGCCGGCCUGAGAGGGCGACCGGCCACACUGGGACUGAGACACGGCCCAGACUCCUACGGGAGGCAGCAGUGGGGAAUAUUGCACAAUGGGCGAAAGCCUGAUGCAGCGACGCCGCGUGAGGGAUGACGGCCUUCGGGUUGUAAACCUCUUUCAGCAGGGAAGAAGCGCAAGUGACGGUACCUGCAGAAGAAGCGCCGGCUAACUACGUGCCAGCAGCCGCGGUAAUACGUAGGGCGCAAGCGUUGUCCGGAAUUAUUGGGCGUAAAGAGCUCGUAGGCGGUCUGUCGCGUCUGGUGUGAAAUCCCGAGGCUCAACCUCGGGCUUGCAUCGGGUACGGGCAGACUAGAGUGCGGUAGGGGAGACUGGAAUUCCUGGUGUAGCGGGUGGAAUGCGCAGAUAUCAGGAGGAACACCGAUUGGCGAAGGCAGGUCUCUGGGCCGCAACUGACGCUGAGGAGCGAAAGC